rnacentral:rRNA from 2 species
CUUGGUGAUUUUGGCGAGGUUGAACCACCCGUUCCCAUCCCGAACACGGAAGUGAAACGCUUCAGCGCUUACGAUACUGCACCUGCAAGGGUGUGGGAAAAUAUGUCAUUGCCAGGG